UACAGAGGGGGCAAGCGUUAUUCGGAAUUAUUGGGCGUAAAGGGCGCGUAGGCGGCCUGGCAAGUGGAAGGUGAAAUCCCUCGGCUUAACCGAGGAACUGCCUCCCAAACUGCUUGGCUUGAGACCAGGAGAGGUGAGUGGAAUUCCCAGUGUAGCGGUGAAAUGCGUAGAUAUUGGGAGGAACACCAGGGGCGAAGGCGGCUCACUGGACUGGUACUGACGCUGAGGCGCGAAAGCUAGGGGAGCGAACGGG
rnacentral:rRNA from 1 species